rnacentral:lncRNA from 1 species
GCCAGAAGCUGCUGUAGCUUUAACCAGACAGCUCAGACCUGUCUGGAGGCUGCCAGUGACAGGUUAGGUUUAGGGCAGAGAAGAAGCAAGACCAUGGUGGGGAAGAUGUGGCCUGUGUUGUGGACACUCUGUGCAGAGCAUUUGGGAAAUAAAAGUACACAUAGAAGAAAUCUCAGAUUGCCCCACGAUCUCAGAAUCCACAGCUGCCAGUUUGAGAGCCUCCCUGCCCAUAGAGGAAGGACAAACCAACCUGCGUGUGUGAACUGCCUUCUUCUCCCUAGAGACCAGCACUUUCUCAACACCAGCACAUGGUACUUGGUCCUGGGGCUGGCUGGGUCCUUUCUGGCCUCCAGAAUCUCCUCCCUAAGAACGUGGUUUCUCUGAGCAAAUAGAUUUUCCCAAGUGGAGGCAUUACUGCCAGUUUCCCAAGGGCUCACAUAAUGUGCUAUGUAUGCCUCAAGCCACCGGUUCCAUCAAGCAUUUCAUUAUCCUCCAACGUAUUAUUUUCCAUUUAGUUCUCAAGAGACCGUUUAUUAUCUUCUUAAUAAACCUUAAUUUUUUACAAGC